GUGGGGAAUCUUAGACAAUGGGCGCAAGCCUGAUCUAGCCAUGCCGCGUGAGCGAUGAAGGCCUUAGGGUUGUAAAGCUCUUUCAGGGGGGAAGAUAAUGACGGUACCCCCAGAAGAAGCCCCGGCUAACUUCGUGCCAGCAGCCGCGGUAAUACGAAGGGGGCUAGCGUUGUUCGUAAUUACUGGGCGUAAAGCGCACGUAGGCGGGUAUUUAAGUCAGGGGUGAAAUCCCGGAGCUCAACUCCGGAACUGCCUUUGAUACUGGGUACCUAGAGUAUGGAAGAGGGAAGUGGAAUUCCGAGUGUAGAGGUGAAAUUCGUAGAUAUUCGGAGGAACACCAGUGGCGAAGGCGGCUUACUGGUCCAUUACUGACGCUGAGGUGCGAAAGCGUGGGGAGCAAACAGGAUUAGAAACCCUAGUAGUCC
rnacentral:rRNA from 1 species